ACUCUAAGCGGUGGAUCACUUGGCUCAUGGGUCGAUGAAGAACGCAGCAAACUGUGCGUCAUCGUGUGAACUGCAGGACACAUGAACAUCGACAUUUUGAACGCAUAUCGCAGUCCAUG